rnacentral:rRNA from 1 species
UACGUAGGGGGCUAGCGUUGUCCGGAAUCAUUGGGCGUAAAGCGCGUGUAGGCGGCCCGGUAAGUCCGCUGUGAAAGUCGGGGGCUCAACCCUCGGAAGCCGGUGGAUACUGUCGGGCUCGAGUACGGAAGAGGCGAGUGGAAUUCCUGGUGUAGCGGUGAAAUGCGCAGAUAUCAGGAGGAACACCAAUGGCGAAGGCAGCUCACUGGGACGGUAUUGACGCUGAGACGCGAAAGCGUGGGGAGCAAACGGG